UCCGGUAGCCAUAGCGGAGGGGAAACACCUGUUCCCAUUCCGAACACAGAAGUUAAGCCCUCCUGCGUCGAUGGUACUGCUCUGGUGACGGGGCGGGAGAGUAGAACGCUGCCGGGA
rfam:Candidate division Zixibacteria bacterium SM23_73_2 WORSMTZ_13012, whole genome shotgun sequence.